rnacentral:rRNA from 1 species
UGGGGAAUCUUGCACAAUGGGCGAAAGCCUGAUGCAGCAACGCCGCGUGCGGGAAGAAGGCCCUAGGGUUGUAAACCGCUUUCAGUAGGGAAGAAAAUGACGGUACCUACAGAAGAAGGUGCGGCCAACUACGUGCCAGCAGCCGCGGUGACACGUAGGCACCAAGCGUUAUCCGGAUUUAUUGGGCGUAAAGAGCUCGUAGGCGGUUUGGUAAGUCGGGUGUGAAAACUCUGGGCUCAACCCAGAGAGGCCACCCGAUACUGCUAUGACUAGAGUACGGUAGGGGAGCGGGGAAUUCAUGGUGUAGCGGUGAAAUGCGCAGAUAUCAUGAGGAACACCAGCGGCGAAGGCGCCGCUCUGGGCCGUAACUGACGCUGAGGAGCGAAAGCAUGGGUAGCAA